rnacentral:rRNA from 1 species
AGAGUUUGAUCCUGGCUCAGGACGAACGCUGGCGGCGCGCCUAACACAUGCAAGUCGAACGGAGCGCACUGGAAGAAUCCUUCGGGAGGAUUCCAGUGUUGCUUAGUGGCGAACGGGUGAGUAACACGUGAGUAACCUACCUCCGAGCGGGGGACAACAUCUGGAAACGGAUGCUAAUACCGCAUAAGACCACAGCCGGACAUCCGGCAGGGGCCAAAGGAUUUAUCCACUUGGAGAUGGACUCGCGCCCGAUUAGCUAGUUGGUGAGGUAACGGCCCACCAAGGCAACGAUCGGUAGCCGGACUGAGAGGUUGAACGGCCACAUUGGGACUGAGACACGGCCCAGACUCCUACGGGAGGCAGCAGUGGGGAAUAUUGCACAAUGGGCGAAAGCCUGAUGCAGCGACGCCGCGUGAGGGAAGAAGGUUUUCGGAUUGUAAACCUCUGUCUUCGGGGACGAUAAUGACGGUACCCGAGGAGGAAGCCACGGCUAACUACGUGCCAGCAGCCGCGGUAAAACGUAGGUGGCAAGCGUUGUCCGGAAUUACUGGGUGUAAAGGGAGCGCAGGCGGGCUGGUAAGUUGAAUGUGAAAACCAUAGGCUCAACCUAUGGAUUGCGUUCAAAACUACUGGUCUUGAGUGAUGGAGAGGCAGGCGGAAUUCCCGGUGUAGCGGUGGAAUGCGUAGAUAUCGGGAGGAACACCAGUGGCGAAGGCGGCCUGCUGGACAUUAACUGACGCUGAGGCUCGAAAGUAUGGGGAGCAAACAGGAUUAGAUACCCUGGUAGUCCAUACCGUAAACGAUGAUUACUAGGUGUGGGGGGAUAGACCCCCUCCGUGCCGCAGCUAACGCAAUAAGUAAUCCACCUGGGGAGUACGGCCGCAAGGCUGAAACUCAAAGGAAUUGACGGGGGCCCGCACAAGCAGUGGAGUAUGUGGUUUAAUUCGAAGCAACGCGAAGAACCUUACCAGGUCUUGACAUCCCUUGCAUAGCCUAGAGAUAGGUGAAGUCUUUCGGGACAAGGAGACAGGUGGUGCAUGGUUGUCGUCAGCUCGUGUCGUGAGAUGUUGGGUUAAGUCCCGCAACGAGCGCAACCCUUAUCGUCAGUUACUACGCAAGAGGACUCUGGCGAGACUGCCGUUGACAAAACGGAGGAAGGUGGGGAUGACGUCAAAUCAGCAUGCCCUUUAUGACCUGGGCUACACACGUACUACAAUGGCCGUCAACAGAGAGAUGCGAAGCCGCGAGGUGGAGCGAAACUCAGAAAAACGGUCUCAGUUCGGAUCGGAGGCUGCAACCCGCCUCCGUGAAGCCGGAAUUGCUAGUAAUCGCGGAUCAGCAUGCCGCGGUGAAUACGUUCCCGGGUCUUGUACACACCGCCCGUCACACCACGGGAGUCGGAUAUGCCCGAAGCCUGUGACCCAACCAGCAAUGGAGGGAGCAGUCGAAGGUGGAGCCGAUAACUGGGGUGAAGUCGUAACAAGGUAACC